AAAUUCAAAGAAAAGGGUUAAAAGCGACUGGGUGUUGGGGAGCAGCUUUUGGGAGCGUCCUUGAGCAAAGCGCCACGCCCCGCGAGGGUAAGCGAUCUACGCCCUACCCCACCGGAGAGCUUCUGGGCGCGUCCCCUUCUCCGGGAGACCUAAGGAGGGCAACCACCGCUCCCAAUCUCCCUUGGCGGCGAGAACUGGAGGGCCCAGUUCUGGUGAUGAUUUCACUUUUGACAGAAGCUGUCCCUCAAAAGCAAACAUGCAAUAGAAGAAACAGAUCUCAAUGCCAUCCAUCUGCAGUUGUGACAAGCAAAAAAGUCUCCAGACAUGGCCAAAUGUCCCCUGGGGGGCAAAAUCACCCCCAAUUGAGAACUACUGCUCUAAACUAUGGAGUCUCACUCUGUCACCCAGGAUGGAGUACAGUGGCGUGAUCUCGGCUCACUGCAAGCUCCGCCUCCUGGGUUCAUGCCAUUCUCCUGCCUUAGCCUCCCGAGUAGCUGGGACUACAGGCGCCUGCCACCACGCCCGGCUAAUUUUUGUAUUUUUAGUAGAGACAGGGUUUCACCGCAUUAGCCAGGAUGGUCUCGAUCUCCUGACCUCGUGAUCCGCCCGCCUCAGCCUCCCAAAGUGCUGGGAUUACAGGCGUGAGUCACUGUGCCCAGCCAAGUUUAGUAUUUUUUGUAGAGACAGAGUUUCACCAUGUUGGCCAGGCUGGUCUUGCACUCAUGGCCUCAAGUGAUCCACCUGCCUCGGCCUCCGAAAGUGCUGGGAUUACAGGCGUAAGCCACUGUGCCUGGCCUUAAAUGGGUAAAUUUCAUAUGGUAUAUGAAUUAUAUUUCACUAAAACUUUAAGAAAACAUUAUACAGUACUGUUCAAAUUUUAAGUGGUCCAAUUUAAAUGCACUAUUGUAUACAAUUCUAUGUAAUGUCCUUACCAUGGUAUAUGUUAACUAUAAAUAUCUAUGCCCCUACCCUUAGUAUCAAAGCAUAUAUUAUAUGCCAGUGAGCCAAGCCCCACAUGUCUGUGAAAUGUGGUCUUCUAGCCAUAGAAGUAGCUUGUGCUCCUAGGGUAUUCCUUGAGGCUCUGUAUGAAGAAUGUCCAUUUGUUUGAGUCCCUAACCUACAGAAUAUUCCUGACCAUGGAAAUGUGAUAGAUAGGAGUAAGCACAUGGACCAAAAGGCCUGGAGGCUCAUCAUUUAAGGUACAAGCCAAUUAUGUAGUCUUUGAAAGAAUGCUUUGAAAUUCAGCUUGCUUGAUUCAAUUCCCAAUAUUUUCAUUUGUAUUAAAAGAUUUGGCCCUUACAGGUUAAAAACAAUGUCAGUGUAACCAAGUGACAUUCAAAUUUUGGCUCCCAACAUGUGAUAUGACAUCACUUCAUGUGAAAAUAGCGAAGCUCCAAACAUUUUCUUUCAGUCACCUUAUUAAGCUCGCUGAGCCCUGACAGCCUAAUGAAAGGCUAAGGGGGAAGAAAAUGUCCCAACUUCUACACUGUUGAAGAUGGGCUAAUGAGAGGUUAGCUUGCAAGAAUCAUUCUUUCUUGGCAUCCUGCUUCUGACUGCUUGGCUUUCAGCUUAUACCCAGCAUGAAAAUUUAAUUUCCUCGCAGUUGAAGGUAGUUUAAAGCUUAUUACUCACAUGCUAAAAUGUUGAUGUAUCUGUUUUUGUGCUUGUUUUCUGGAUGAUUGGAAUGCUCUGCAGUGAUGUUCAUAUCAGCAGUACAGCGCUGGACUUCCUAGUGAAGAAAACAGCAAGAUUAUAGACACAGUUUAGAAACAAAGGAACACCAUAUACAUUUAAAGGCAUAAAGUAUUUACUCACUCCCUGGCCACAGCCACCGUUACCUUCUCAAUCCCAACUUCGGAUAUAAUUAUUGAUAUAUUUAUAACGAGUUUAUGAAGAAUGUGAAAAAGGUAUAAAGAUUUCAUUAUUUACUAUUUCAUCAAUCAUCUACUUUUUUCUAGUUUUUGACCUAGUCCCUGAGAUGUAAAACAAUAUCUCUUUUUGAAUACAUCAUAGUCUAUGGGUGAGAAAAAUAUUCAAAAAGAUAGUCAAACAUGAUGAAUACAAAAGAGGCCUGAGAAAGCUCUGAUGGGAGCACAGAACAGAGGAAGGCUUUAGACAGGUGAAAAAAUUUACCUAAGUCUUAAAGGAAGAAAGGGAAUUUCUAAGAAGUAUAAUCUCUACCAUGAUUUGCAAUAUGCUUACAGGCCUUAUAGCCUCAUUUUAUAAUUGUGAGGGUGCAUUGACUCUAAAGACUCAGUGCUGAAAUAACCCUAAUAACAGCCCAACUAAUGGUCAUAUCUCAUAUAUACAGUCUUGACAAAUUAUUUGUGAACUCUAGUAUUUUAAAAGUUAUCCUUCUUUGGAAAAAUAGCAGUAGCAGAAAUAACACUCUUAUCCUACCUUGGCCGUGGAUUUAAACGUCAUCCAUUAGCCUAAUACAACGUUGCUGAAAAGCCAAAUUUUUCUACACUAUAUGCUUCAAACCCAAGAAAGUACUGGAGCUGACUAAUAAGGGAAGUCAUUAGCAGUACACAGCUGCUACAAAGAGCCUGAACAAAGUAACACAAAAUUAUCAGGAGAAAUGUUUUACACAGAACAGAUGUAGCAGAGUUUAGAAGCAUGCAGACUUUUUUUUUCCACAAAGGAGUUGCCUAGUAAUUAUGCAUGUUUUCCAUAGUAUU
rnacentral:lncRNA from 1 species